GAUGAAGAACGCAGCGAAAUGCGAUAAGUAAUGUGAAUUGCAGAAUUCAGUGAAUCAUCGAAUCUUUGAACGCACAUUGCGUCCGUCAGUAUUCUGGCGGGCAUGCCUGUUCGAGCGUCAUUACGCCCCUCAAGUCCCCUGUGGACUUGGUGUUGGGGAUCGGCGAGGCUGGUUUUCCAGCACAGCCGUCCCUUAAAUUAAUUGGCGGUCUCGCCGUGGCCCUCCUCUGCGCAGUAGUAAAACACUCGCAACAGGAGCCCGGCGCGGUCCACUGCCGUAAAACCCCCCAACUUUUUAUAGUUGACCUCGAAUCAGGUAGGACUACCCGCUGAACUUAAGCAUAUCAAUAAGCGGAGGA
rnacentral:misc_RNA from 1 species